UACGUAGGGGGCAAGCGUUGUUCGGAAUUACUGGGCGUAAAGGGCUCGUAGGUGGCCAACUAAGUCAUACGUGAAAUCCCUCGGCUUAACCGGGGAACUGCGCCUGAUACUGGUUGGCUUGAGUUUGGGAGAGGGACGCGGAAUUCCAGGUGUAGCGGUGAAAUGCGUAGAUAUCUGGAGGAACACCGGUGGCGAAGGCGGCGUCCUGGACCAAUACUGACACUGAGGAGCGAAAGCCAGGGGAGCAAACGGG
rnacentral:rRNA from 1 species